rnacentral:rRNA from 1 species
UACGGAGGAGGCAAGCGUUGUCCGGAAUUACUGGGCGUAAAGCGCGUGUAGGUGGUGGGACAAGUCUGCUGUGAAAGCGCCUGGCUUAACCGGGCGAGGUCGGCGGAAACUGUCCGACUCGAGGACGGUAGAGGGGGGUGGAAUUCCCGGUGUAGUGGUGAAAUGCGUAGAGAUCGGGAGGAACACCUGUGGCGAAGGCGGCCCCCUGGGCCGGCCCUGACACUGAGACGCGAAGGCGUGGGGAGCGAACGGG